rnacentral:snRNA from 1 species
GUGCUUGCUUCAGCAACACAGAUACUAAAAUUGGAAAGAUACAGAGAAGAUUAGCAUGGCCCCUGUGCAAGGAUGACAUGCAAAUCUGUGAAGUGUUCCAUAUUUCU